rnacentral:lncRNA from 1 species
CGAGCCCGCGUGAAAUUGAAUCCAAAAUCAAGUUUCUUGCCUCCAAUUUUGGUCUCUCUCUUCUCCCUGGUCGUUCUUCUUCUUCAUAUGAUGAAUUUAGGUAUUUAUAUCGCGUCCAAAUUAAGUAGGAAAGGAGUUUCAACCAAAACGAAAAACUGCCCCUGAAAUUUAAAAAUCCUUCUAUGCGACCGCAUAGAAGGAAUCUAUGCGGUCGCAUAGUUCAAAUUGUUUGGGUUCAUUGAGUCCCUGAAGCCUUCUAUGCGACCGCAUAGAAGGUUACACUAUGCGGUCGCAUAGAAGUAA